rnacentral:rRNA from 1 species
AUGGAUCGCCCCCAGCUCCGGAACCCUAGCAGCCGCCCUGUUAAGCCGCCGCGGCCACCACGGGGCUCGGCCGUCCAGCCCCCUCCGGCGUCGAGGCCUGCCCCCGAGGCCUCCUCUCCAGAUGGAAGGCCAAGAAAAAAGGUUCGAUUUGCAAGUGAAGCUGGUAGUCAUCACAUACAUGCGAGACAGGAUGCUGCUAACACAAGAAAAGCUGAGAAAACAAAGCCCCAAGGUUCCGAUGCGAAAACUACCGAACUCAAAUUCUUUAAGAAAUUGUGGGAGCAGUCAGGAUGUAGAUCCCGUUCCCUCAGACAACCUCAUCAAAACAUUGUGCCAAGCAUCUCCAAGCAAAAAGAGGGUGAUAGAAUGGAACCACAGAACAUGACGUCGCACAAGAAGUUCCCUGCCCAGAAUGUUACUCUGUGUCCUGAUGAGACCCCAGCCACACCCUUGAACAAUGUAAUCUCUAAUGAGCAAGUGGAAGUGCAAGCCUCACAUUCUGAAUAUCACAAUCAUGAUACACCUCAGUUAAAACCAUGUCAUAUCCUGCCAAUGGGUCAUGUUUUCACACCCACGAUUCAGACACCAUUUGAAAUUGCAGGGAUUUCAAGAAAUACCGAACCUGGGAGUGGACGGAUGUUUUCAGAAAAGAGAAGAAAAUUAUUAAAGCUAGCUGCAAAAACUGUGUCAAUGGAAAGUUGCGAGUUGUUGCGAAAAAGAUCAGAAUUUUUUGCUGAUAUCUUGCAAAGGUUAGGCGCCAACGACAUAAUAAGAAAGCAUCAUAAAGAGCCCAUGAGACAGAGGGAAAUGGUUCACAGAUGUGCUCGUUCUGAUCCCAGAGGUCAUUUUGAAAACAUGCUUGAUUACGGGGGUGACUUCAAAUCAUCAAGUAAACUGAUAUUGGGCAAAGAGUCAUCCUCAUAUGCAAGUGACGAAUCACGUCAAUUCUUAGCAUUGCCAUGGGUAGACAACCAGGGUCUUCCAAGUUUUCCUGAUUGGAAAGAUGAUUUAUCUUGUGGGGACAAUGAAGCACAUGAGGGCAUGUCAUUACCAUCAGCAUAUACUACAAAACUUUCAAGUUCUGAUUGGAAAAGGGACACUGUUCACAACCAGGUCUCCAACUUGUUGCUAGAGGAUGUUCAACACCUCCCCAAAGGAAAAUUAGCUUCGGGUAAUGAACUGGGCUGCAAUAUUCAAUCUGAGCCAUAUGAUCAUGAUGAAUGGGAUCCAAUGCUGUUGCUAGCAGUCACUGAACCAAUUCCAAAUCGGUUGUCCUUCCCCUGUCAGAUCAGAGAGCAGUCUGUGGCGUCGCGUGCAAUAUCAGAUACUUCAUGGCAACCUCAGUUUUCCAGAUGCCUAGAGCAUUGUACUUCUAGGUCGCUUGGACUGGAGGUGGAUGGCUUGAUUGAGGCAGGAUUGUUUGAUGAUUCUGAUGCUGGACAUCAAUCUGCAUUUGAUCAGUCACAUGAGAAAUGCACUUCUUCAAGCUUUUUAGGCCUUAGAAACGGAAUUCUUGAUAAUAAUGGUUUUAGCAGUAUCUCCAACUUCCAUGCUAGUGAGAGCAAGAGCAUUGUGCCGAAUCCAGACAGAAGUUGCCUGAAUUCCAUAUAUUCAACUUCAGAUUACCCUUUUGAGCAGCGGUCAUAG